AAAAGAUUAAUCUUAACACUUGCGAGAAUAGAUAAUAAAUUUGAGUACGUCUUCUAUGCUUUCGAAUUAUUUUCGAUAAUGGAAUAUUCAAUGCGACGAUCGGCCCCAUUAGGUAUGAUUUAUAUUAUUAGAGUUAUUUACAAAUCAAAUCUUAUAAUUUUUCAACAUCAUUUGUUAGGUAAUUAAAGGGUCUAAAAAAUGACUAUUUUAAUGGCCGUAUGACAUGUUUGUAAGUUGAACGUUGUAGAACAAUCCAAAUUAUGUGAAAUUUUAAUAAAAAUUUAUUACUAUCAAGAGCAAGAUCAAUACUUUCGAUUUGAAAUUUUAACUUUUAUCACUAUUUUUUAUGUAUUUUCAGUCGUGCAUUUUGCGGUUACUCGAUCACUAGACAAAUAAAGUCAAAAAAAUUAUGGAAUUGCUCCUAUUGAGCAACCCAAACACUCAAAUCAAAUAGAUUUGAAAAAUAUUUAUCUGCAAAAUAGUCUUGAAUUU
rnacentral:lncRNA from 1 species